AUGAGUGUCUUCCGUCUCCCGGCUUCGGUUUGUGAUGACCUCACACGGAUGAUGAGACAAUAUUGGUGGGGAGUGGAAAAUGGCAAAAGAAAGAUGGCAUGGCCCAGUUGGGAGAAAAUGGUGUUACCCAAGGAUAUGGGGGGCAUGGGAUUCAGAGAUAUGCGAGCUUUCAACGAGGCUUUGCUUGCUAAGCGAGCGUGGAGAUUAUUGGACAGCCCAGAUAGUUUAUGUGCCCGCUUACUUCGUGCAAAGUAUUACCCCAAUGGGAACCUGUUGGAUACAGUGUUCCCCUCAUCAUCAUCAGUAGUAUGGAGGGGCAUCACACAUGGUUUGGAGCUGCUC
rnacentral:rRNA from 1 species